CUUAUCAUGUAAAACAUUUUUUGGCUGUUAGUUUGAGUCUUUUGUUAGAUACCCUUCAAACUCUUUUUUGGCCUGCCUAAUUAUACUUUUAUACUUGACUUGC